CACUAUCGUUAACUGAAUACAUAGGUUAACGAGGCGAACCGGGGGAACUGAAACAUCUAAGUACCCCGAGGAAAAGAAAUCAACCGAGAUUCCCCCAGUAGCGGCGAGCGAACGGGGAGCAGCCCAGAGUCUGAAUCAGCUUGUGUGUUAGUGGAACGGUCUGGAAAGUCCGACGGUACAGGGUGAUAGUCCCGUACACCAAAAUGCACAGGCUGUGAACUCGAAGAGUAGGGCGGGACACGUGGUAUCCUGUCUGAAUAUGGGGGGACCAUCCUCCAAGGCUAAAUACUCCUGACUGACCGAUAGUGAACCAGUACCGUGAGGGAAAGGCGAAAAGAACCCCGGCGAGGGGAGUGAAAAAGAACCUGAAACCGUGUACGUACAAGCAGUGGGAGCACCUUCGGGUGUGACUGCGUACCUUUUGUAUAAUGGGUCAGCGACUUAUAUUCUGUAGCAAGGUUAACCGUAUAGGGGAGCCGCAGGGAAACCGAGUCUUAACUGGGCGUUAAGUUGCAGGGUAUAGACCCGAAACCCGGUGAUCUAGCCAUGGGCAGGUUGAAGGUUGGGUAACACUAACUGGAGGACCGAACCGACUAAUGUUGAAAAAUUAGCGGAUGACUUGUGGCUGGGGGUGAAAGGCCAAUCAAACCGGGAGAUAGCUGGUUCUCCCCGAAAGCUAUUUAGGUAGCGCCUCGUGAAYUCAUCUUCGGGGGUAGAGCACUGUUUCGGCUAGGGGGUCAUCCCGACUUACCAACCCGAUGCAAACUACGAAUACCGAAGAAUGUUAUCACGGGAGACACACGGCGGGUGCUAACGUCCGUCGUGAAGAGGGAAACAACCCAGACCGCCAGCUAAGGUCCCAAAGUCAUGGUUAAGUGGGAAACGAUGUGGGAAGGCACAGACAGCCAGGAUGUUGGCUUAGAAGCAGCCAUCAUUUAAAGAAAGCGUAAUAGCUCACUGGUCGAGUCGGCCUGCGCGGAAGAUGUAACGGGGCUAAACCAUGCACCGAAGCUGCGGCAGCGACACUAUGUGUUGUUGGGUAGGGGAGCGUUCUGUAAGCCUGCGAAGGUGWSCUGUGAGGSWUGCUGGAGGUAUCAGAAGUGCGAAUGCUGACAUAAGUAACGAUAAAGCGGGUGAAAAGCCCGCUCGCCGGAAGACCAAGGGUUCCUGUCCAACGUUAAUCGGGGCAGGGUGAGUCGACCCCUAAGGCGAGGCCGAAAGGCGUAGUCGAUGGGAAACAGGUUAAUAUUCCUGUACUUGGUGUUACUGCGAAGGGGGGACGGAGAAGGCUAUGUUAGCCGGGCGACGGUUGUCCCGGUUUAAGCAUGUAGGCUGRUUGUCCAGGCAAAUCCGGAUAAUCAAGGCUGAGGUGUGAUGACGAGGCACUACGGUGCUGAAGUAACAAAUGCCCUGCUUCCAGGAAAAGCCUCUAAGCAUCAGGUAACAUYAAAUCGUACCCCAAACCGACACAGGUGGUCAGGUAGAGAAUACCAAGGCGCUUGAGAGAACUCGGGUGAAGGAACUAGGCAAAAUGGUGCCGUAACUUCGGGAGAAGGCACGCUGGUGUGUAGGUGAAGYCCCUGCGGRUGGAGCUGAGACCAGUCGAAGAUACCAGCUGGCUGCAACUGUUUAUUAAAAACACAGCACUGUGCAAACACGAAAGUGGACGUAUACGGUGUGACGCCUGCCCGGUGCCGGAAGGUUAAUUGAUGGGGUUAUCCGUAAGGAGAAGCUCUUGAUCGAAGCCCCGGUAAACGGCGGCCGUAACUAUAACGGUCCUAAGGUAGCGAAAUUCCUUGUCGGGUAAGUUCCGACCUGCACGAAUGGCGUAAUGAUGGCCAGGCUGUCUCCACCCGAGACUCAGUGAAAUUGAACUCGCUGUGAAGAUGCAGUGUACCCGCGGCAAGACGGAAAGACCCCGUGAACCUUUACUAUAGCUUGACACUGAACAUUGAGCCUUGAUGUGUAGGAUAGGUGGGAGGCUUUGAAGCGUGGACGCCAGUCUGCGUGGAGCCAACCUUGAAAUACCACCCUUUAAUGUUUGAUGUUCUAACGUUGGCCCCUKACCGGGGUUGCGGACAGUGUCUGGUGGGUAGUUUGACUGGGGCGGUCUCCUCCCAAAGCGUAACGGAGGAGCACGAAGGUUAGCUAAUCCUGGUCGGACAUCAGGAGGUUAGUGCAAUGGCAUAAGCUAGCUUGACUGCGAGCGUGACGGCGCGAGCAGGUGCGAAAGCAGGUCAUAGUGAUCCGGUGGUUCUGAAUGGAAGGGCCAUCGCUCAACGGAUAAAAGGUACUCCGGGGAUUGGAGAAUUGAGGGGGGCUGCUCCUAGUACGAGAGGACCGGAGUGGACGCAUCACUGGUGUUCGGGUUGUCAUGCCAAUGGCACUGCCCGGUAGCUAAAUGCGGAAGAGAUAAGUGCUGAAAGCAUCUAAGCACGAAACUUGCCCCGAGAUGAGUUCUCCCUGAGACUUUAAGUCUCCUGAAGGAACGUUGAAGACGAYGACGUUGAUAGGCCGGGUGUGUAAGCGCAGCGAUGCGUUGAGCUAACCGGUACUAAUGAACCGUGAGGCUUAACCUU
rnacentral:rRNA from 1 species